ACAUCUGAGGGUGAUGUGCUGUGACAUUUGUCACCCAGUUGAUUGCUAGGGUUGAUUCAGUUGAUCUGGCUGGGUAUGCAGUUGUCUGUUCUUCCCUCACUUCUCCGUGUGCUCCUUUCCUGAAGCUGUGCACCCAGAUGAAGAAGAUGACCUUCUCCAGUGGAGGACAGUCUCCAUGAAGGCUUUAUAACUAGCCAUGCUCCCUUGCUGGACUAGAUCUCCAAGACGAUCCUUAAGGAAAGAAGCCUCUNNNNNNNN
ensembl:misc_RNA 7SK 7SK RNA